AGAUGUGAGGGUGAUCCAGCUGAGGCAUCUGUUGCCCCUAUUGAUUGCCAGGGUUGAUUUGGCUAAUCUGGCUGGCGAGGUAGGUGUCCCCUUCCCCUUUCACCACUCCAUGUGCAUCCUUCCCAAGGUUGUGCACUUGGUGGAAGAGGACAUCCUUCCCCAAACGAGGAGGACAGGUCUUCCAUCAAGGGUACAUGAGUAGCUGCACUUCCCUGCUUGAUCCUUCAAACAAGCUCUCAAGAAUGAAAUUGGUGUCCCAUCAUAGGUAGUGGGCUCCAAAAAGCCCAUGUAGAUGUAACCAACCAUCUUAUU
rnacentral:snRNA from 1 species